CUCUCUCUCUCUCCAGACAAAUUCGUAACGGAUACUUCCUCACUUCCCUCUCUCUCUUCAUAAAUUUCUAGGGUUUAUCGAAAUCUCGCCACAAAUUUUCCUUUCUUUGCGAAAUUCGUUCUGAUCUCCUCGCAGAAUCUCUAUUUUCUUGAGCUCUAUCCGCCAUGGAAUUGCGUUGCGUUUACGAAUCGGAAUCGGAAUCGGAAUCGAAAUCGGCGAGCGAUAGCGAGACUCCUGCCGAUCUUAAGAACAAAGGAUCGGAGGUCGAGGCAUCAGGAUCUGCGACUGGAAGUGGAAGAAAGAACGGAGGACUAAGAGAGAAUGCACAUUCCCUUGUGAAUUCUGUUUCUAAAAUUGUAUCACAAAUUAAGAAACCUCAAUACAAGCGAAGUGGUUCUCCACUGAACUGGUUUCCUCGGAGGAAGACAGACUCUUAUUUGAAAAGGAAAAUCAGACUUCUGCAGAAAAAUGAGGGGAUGGACUUAUCGCUUGAUGAGACUCUAGGUAAUGCUAAUCCACAUUAUACAAGGAUAGCAAGGGAGAAAAUUGCUGCGAGAGAGGCUGCAAGGAAAGCUAUGGAAGCUCGUAAAGCCGCAAUGGUUGAAGCUUCAUGGUGUCGAGUACUUCGUGCAGCCAGAAUUCAAAAUAAAGAAGCAGAAGCUGAGUUGGAAAAAGCUGAGAAAUGUGCAGCAGAAGCUUUUGAAGCGGCAAGAGCAAAGGGAGUAAUGAUGUAUGACAGGCCAGAUACUCCAAGGAGAUCAUAUGAAGUAGAAUCUCAUCCAUCCCUCAGUGGAAAAUCUACCCACACUGUCACUGCUUCUUUCGAAACUGCAUUUGAGGUAGACAAGGAAGUUAUGGCAGCAAUUAGAAGAGCAUUUAUACAGCUUGCAAAUGGUCCCCACUCUUCAAAUAAAGAAGAAUUCAAAGACUUGCUGUGGAAAAUCAACCAGAAUCCUGACAAUAAUGAAGCUAGUCUUGAUUUUUCAGAGACACAUUCAGAAUCUGAAUUGGACGCCGACCUUAGUGGUGAUGAUGCAGUCAAUAUACAGGAUACUGAAAAGAAGCAGAAAAGAUCCAACUGCAGUCAGUUUGAUAAUGGUCAUGACAAGAGCACUGCUGAAAAGUUCAUUGAGCUUGUCACCGUCAUGCUUGAUAGACUUAAAGGUCUAGAAGAAGAUGAACUUGCUUCGCUUGCUACUAUAGUCGCCACUUGUGGUCUGAAUGCUGCUCUCAUCGAGCUAGAACAUAGCAAAGAUCAUGAACUGAAUGGGUUUUCAUGUACAAAUAAACAUGGAACAGGGGAAAGAAGGAACUCCAGUGUCGCUCGUUUUAUGGAUGGAUAUUCAAAUAGGAAAGAACCUGUUACUGAAGUGCCCAGUCUUGACAAGUUCCUGGUGAAGCAUGUGUCAAGGCUAGAGAGAGAAGUUCAAGAAGCACGGAACUCAAGAUCUCAACAAACUACAGGAGCCUCUGAACCGAUAAAUGCUGAGCCAAAGAAGUUUACGUCAUCAGAGCACGUCUCAGAUUUUGGAAGUGUUCUUGUAAAGCACGUCUCUAAACUUGAGAAGGAGAUACAGGAAGCUAGAAAGUCCCGAAACAAUAGCUCAUAUCAGGACAAAGAAAAUAUAGACUCUAAUACACUGGUGUCAUCAUCUGAUACCAAUGGAACUCAAUUUGGUACCGAAAUGGAGAAAUCACCUGUAAAACACCUCUCUCGGCUUGAAAGAGCUAAACUGGAAGUGCUAGCCACAUUUUCCUCUCACGAACAGUCUAGCCUUGAUAAAAUCCUAGUCAAGCCAGUGCACAGAUUGGAGAGAGAGAAAAUACAAGCAUUGGAAAGGGAGACUGAGUACUUGAAGAAAAGAGAUAAUCAGAAGCAAAAGGCUGAUGCAAGAGUUUCAGAGAGCUUAGACAAGGUAUUGGUAAAGCACAUCUCCAAGCUCGAAAAGGAAAAAAUGGUGUCUGGAAAAGAUUAUGGUCCAACAACAACGGUUAAAAGAAGAGACACGCAACAGCUCGAAAAGACUGGGAGCUUAGAUGAGAUUUUGGUUAAACAUCAAUCAAAACUUGAGAAGGUGAAGUUGGCUGCAUCACAGCAACCAGUAUAUGACAUUGUCAAAAACAAGAAACAUGGAACCGAGGCUACAGAAGAUAGCUUAGACAAGAUUUUGGUCAGGCAUCAGCCAGAACUCGAGAAGGCCAAAUUGGCUGCAGCUCAGCAGUCUGAUGAUUACACAAAAUAUGCAGAUUCUCGCAAGGAAGCAAGAGAGAGGGAGUUGCAGGAAGCUUGGGGUGGCCUAAGCUUAGGAAAUUCUAUACGGCCACAUCUUUCGAGGCUAGAGAGAGAUAGGGCUGCAUGGAAGAGAGCCGAGGAAGAAGAGAGAAUGCUAGCUAGGGAAGCCAUGAAAUGAUCCAAUAUAUAUCUCUAAAUAAAACCCUUUAUGUUUCAGCGUUGCAGUUGUUUCUACUUUGUUUUUCCUUUCAAUAGAAAUCUAACCUUGUGAUUACUUUGGCUAAUUUUGCUCGUCUUUCUUCUAUCAUAUUCAUCUUGUGGAUUUGCUACUUUUAUUUAACCGUUGUCUAAAAAAUUUCAUUCAUGUCCCCAGCAGGCUAGAAAUCUCAUCAUGCAAUUCUAAGGUAAUGGAAGUUUUCCC